rnacentral:rRNA from 1 species
GGACGGUAGCACAGAGAGCUUGCUCUCGGGUGACGAGUGGCGGACGGGUGAGUAAUGUCUGGGGAUCUGCCCGAUAGAGGGGGAUAACCACUGGAAACGGUGGCUAAUACCGCAUAACGUCGCAAGACCAAGGAGGGGGACCUUCGGGCCUCUCACUAUCGGAUGAACCCAGAUGGGAUUAGCUAGUAGGCGGGGUAACGGCCCACCUAGGCGACGAUCCCUAGCUGGUCUGAGAGGAUGACCAGCCACACUGGAACUGAGACACGGUCCAGACUCCUACGGGAGGCAGCAGUGGGGAAUAUUGCACAAUGGGCGCAAGCCUGAUGCAGCCAUGCCGCGUGUAUGAAGAAGGCCUUCGGGUUGUAAAGUACUUUCAGCGGGGAGGAAGGCGAUGUGGUUAAUAACCGCAUUGAUUGACGUUACCCGCAGAAGAAGCACCGGCUAACUCCGUG